GAGUUUGAUCAUGGCUCAGGACGAACGCUGGCGGCGUGCCUAAUACAUGCAAGUAGAACGCUGAAGAAAGAACCUGGCUCUUCGUGUAAGAUUUGCAAAGGUGAGAAUAACGCAUAUGUCACCCGCGUGGUCGCGGGAGAUCACUAGUGAACAAUAUCUCUAACACCACAAGAAUUGAAGUAUCACGAGAUUUUUCAUUGAAGUGUGCUUGUGCCUCUCCACCAUAGGGACCCGUUUUGUAAUAUCUAUUGGGGGGGGUAACCGCUCCCCAGCGACAAUACACAUCCCACACCAGAGGGGGAUAUCCGCCACUGUGACACAGACACACCGCCCACACUCCCAGGGGGCGCCACUAUGGGGACUCCUCCGCUGUGGAGAGAUCUCACACAGAACCACCCCGCGUGUGUAAAAAGUGUUUUGAUAUCAUAACUCUCUUUUGUAAGAAAAAAAAGAGUGAGAGAGUGAAAUUUUCACUGUGACACUGUCUCAUACCAAAAGGGCAGCGCUAACUAUGUGCCCACCCCCGCUGUAAUACAUGUGUCCCGAGCUUUCUCCAGAUUUAGUGCGUAUAACGCGAGCACGCGCUGAUAUAUAUCUCAGAUUUUAAGCGCUGUGGCUUAACCAUAGUACGCUUUGGAAACUGUUUAACUUGAGUGCAAGAGGGGAGAGUGGAAUUCCAUGUGUAGCGGUGAAAUGCGUAGAUAUAUGGAGGAACACCGGUGGCGAAAGCGGCUCUCUGGCUUGUAACUGACGCUGAGGCUCGAAAGCGUGGGGAGCAAACAGGAUUAGAUACCCUGGUAGUCCACGCCGUAAACGAUGAGUGCUAGGUGUUAGACCCUUUCCGGGGUUUAGUGCCGCAGCUAACGCAUUAAGCACUCCGCCUGGGGAGUACGACCGCAAGGUUGAAACUCAAAGGAAUUGACGGGGGCCCGCACAAGCGGUGGAGCAUGUGGUUUAAUUCGAAGCAACGCGAAGAACCUUACCAGGUCUUGACAUCCCUCUGACCACUCUAGAGAUAGAGUUUUCCUUCGGGACAGAGGUGACAGGUGGUGCAUGGUUGUCGUCAGCUCGUGUCGUGAGAUGUUGGGUUAAGUCCCGCAACGAGCGCAACCCCUAUUGUUAGUUGCCAUCAUUCAGUUGGGCACUCUAGCGAGACUGCCGGUAAUAAACCGGAGGAAGGUGGGGAUGACGUCAAAUCAUCAUGCCCCUUAUGACCUGGGCUACACACGUGUUACAAUGGCUGGUACAACGAGUCGCGAGCCGGUGACGGCAAGCUAAUCUCUUAAAGCCAGCCUCAGUUCGGAUUGUAGGCUGCAACUCGCCUACAUGAAGUCGGAAAUCGCUAGUAAUCGCGGAUCAGCGCGCCGCAGUGAAAUACGUUUCCCGGCCCUUCCCCCACCGCCCGUC
rnacentral:rRNA from 1 species